ensembl:ncRNA C29A12.19 ncRNA
UUGGUAGAGAAGAGCAUGCACCAAAAGGCAUACACAUUGGGAGUUCCAUUAAAAAGCGGAAAAAGAAAAAGGGAGGGGUAGGGGCACAAAUCGGAAGAUAAAGCCAGCAUGGCAGGCGGCAAAGAAGAGUCAUGAAUAAUUAAUAUUUACAAUUGGAAUAUUUGAAACUACUUAGACUGAAUUGGAAUUCAUAGAUUUUUAGGUUUUUUGCAGG